UACGAAGGGGGCUAGCGUUGCUCGGAAUCACUGGGCGUAAGGGUGCGUAGGCAGGUCUUUAAGUCAGGGGUGAAAUCCUGGAGCUCAACUCCAGAACUGCCUUUGAUACUGAGGAGCUUGAGUCCGGGAGAGGUGAGUGGAACUGCGAGUGUAGAGGUGAAAUUCGUAGAUAUUCGCAAGAACACCAGUGGCGAAGGCGGCUCACUGGCCCGGUACUGACGCUGAGGUGCGAAAGCGUGGGGAGCAACAGGAUAGAUACCCAGACGUCC
rnacentral:rRNA from 1 species